rnacentral:rRNA from 1 species
AGGGCACCACCAGGAGUGGAGCCUGCGGCUUAAUUUGACUCAACACGGGAAAACUCACCCGGCCCGGACACUGAAAGGAUUGACAGAUUGAGAGCUCUUUCUUGAUUCAGUGGGUGGUGGUGCAUGGCCGUUCUUAGUUGGUGGAGCGAUUUGUCUGGUUAAUUCCGAUAACGAACGAGACUCUAGCCUACUAAAUAGAUCGCCGGUUUACAAACACCGGUGAGACUUCUUAGAGGGACAGGCGGCGAUUCAGCCGCACGAAACAGAGCAAUAACAGGUCUGUGAUGCCCUUAGAUGUCCGGGGCCACACGCGCGCUACACUGAAGUGAUCAGCGUGCAUUUUAAGCCUACUCUGCCAAGAGUGGGAAACCCAAUGAACCUUCUUCGUGAUUGGGAUAGGGGAUUGUAAUUAUUCCCCUUGAACGAGGAAUUCCCAGUAAGCGCGAGUCAUAAGCUCGCGUUGAUUACGUCCCUGCCCUUUGUACACACCGCCCGUCGCUACUACCGAUUGAAUGUUUU